rnacentral:piRNA from 1 species
UGUUUUUUUAAGUUGAAGGAAUCCCAAGA